GGUUCCAUAGUGUAGUGGUCAUCACGUCUGCCUCACAUGCAGAAGGUCCUGGGAUCAAACCCCAGUGGAACCA
rnacentral:tRNA from 1 species